rnacentral:rRNA from 1 species
AUGAACGCUGGCGGCGUGCCUAAUACAUGCAAGUCGAGCGAACGGACGAGAAGCUUGCUUCUCUGAUGUUAGCGGCGGACGGGUGAGUAACACGUGGAUAACCUACCUAUAAGACUGGGAUAACUUCGGGAAACCGGGGCUAAUACCGGAUAAUAUUUUGAACCGCAUGGUUCAAAAGUGAAAGACGGUCUUGCUGUCACUUAUAGAUGGAUCCGCGCUGCAUUAGCUAGUUGGUAAGGUAACGGCUUACCAAGGCAACGAUGCAUAGCCGACCUGAGAGGGUGAUCGGCCAAACUGGAACUGAGACACGGUCCAGACUCCUACGGGAGGCAGCAGUAGGGAAUCUUCCGCAAUGGGCGAAAGCCUGACGGAGCAACGCCGCGUGAGUGAUGAAGGUCUUCGGAUCGUAAAACUCUGUUAUUAGGGAAGAACAUAUGUGUAAGUAACUGUGCACAUCUUGACGGUACCUAAUCAGAAAGCCACGGCUAACUACGUG